GGGGUUGUGGCUCAGUGGGCAGAGCGCAUGCCUAGCAUGCAUGAGGCACUGAGUUUGAUCCCU
rnacentral:tRNA from 1 species